rnacentral:rRNA from 1 species
AGAACGAACGCUGGCGGCAGGCUUAACACAUGCAAGUCGAACGCUCGUAGCAAUACGGGAGUGGCAGACGGGUGAGUAACGCGUGGGAACAUACCCUCCGGUUCGGAAUAGCUCAGGGAAACUUGGAUUAAUACCGGAUACGGCUGAGAGGCGAAAGAUUUAUCGCCGGAGGAUUGGCCCGCGUUCGAUUAGCUUGUUGGUGAGGUAACGGCUCACCAAGGCGAUGAUCGAUAGCUGGUCUGAGAGGAUGAUCAGCCACAUUGGGACUGAGACACGGCCCAAACUCCUACGGGAGGCAGCAGUGGGGAAUAUUGGACAAUGGGCGCAAGCCUGAUCCAGCCAUGCCGCGUGAGUGAUGACGGCCUUAGGGUUGUAAAGCUCUUUCGCUCGGGACGAUAAUGACGGUACCGAGAUAAGAACGCCCGGCUAACUCGUGCCAGCAGCCGC